AGAGUUUGAUCCUGGCUCAGAAUCAACGCUGGCGGCGCGCUUAACACAUGCAAGUCGAACGAGAAAGUGGAGCAAUCCAUGAGUAAAGUGGCGUACGGGUGAGUAACACGUGGGUAAUCUACCUCUGGGUGGGGGAUAACCCUGGGAAACCGGGGCUAAUACCGCAUAAGCCUGGAAAGGGAAAGGCGAAAGUCGCCGAGAGAGGAGCCCGCGGCCGAUUAGCUAGUUGGUAGGGUAAAGGCCUACCAAGGCGAUGAUCGGUAGCCGGCCUGAGAGGGCACACGGCCACACUGGCACUGAAACACGGGCCAGACUCCUACGGGAGGCAGCAGUGGGGAAUCUUGCACAAUGGGGGCAACCCUGAUGCAGCGACGCCGCGUGAGCGAUGAAGCCCUUCGGGGUGUAAAGCUCUUUCGGCUGGAACGAUGAUGACGGUACCAGCAGAAGAAGCUGCGGCUAACUACGUGCCAGCAGCCGCGGUAAUAC
rnacentral:rRNA from 1 species